rnacentral:lncRNA from 1 species
UAGGCUAGUAUACUAUCGGUAGCACAGAGGUCUCCGUGCUAUUAAGUUGUUUUCAAUGAUACAGCUUUAAAAUCGACGAUCGGCUCCGUUAGACUUGAUCUACGCUAUUAAAAGUAUUUAGAAACUAAAUUUCAUAAUUUUUCGACAUCAUUUGGCUAAUGAUCAAAAGGUCUCAAAAUUGACAAUUUUAAUAGUAGAUUUGAUGCGUUUGUGAAUUUAACGGUAUAAACCAAUCCAAAUCCGAUAAAUUUUUUUAUAGAAAAUUCUUUUCACUAUUUAGAGUAAUAUCAGUACCUCUGAUCUUAAAUUUAAGUCUUUUAUCAUCAUUUUUUAUAAAAUUUUUAUUUUCAGCCGUUUAUUUUUAAACUACUGGUUUGAUGGGUAAAUGAUGCCGAAAAAUUAUGAAAUUUAGAUUCCAAAUACUUUCAAUAAUGUAGAUCAAGUUUAACGGAGCCAAUCGUCGAUUUGGAAACCGCAGCAUUGAAAACAACUUGGUAGCACAGAGGCCUCCGUGCUACCAAUAGUAUACCAGCCUAGCUCUCUCUCUCUCUCUCUCUCUCUCUCUCUAUAGAGAGAGAGAGAGAGAGAGUUGAGCUAGAAUACUAUUGAUAGCAAACGAGCUCCGUUGCCACCCAUUUGUUUUCGAUGAUAGAGCCUCCAAAUCAACGAUCGGCACCGUUGAACAUGAUUUAUACUACUUGAAGUAUUUAGAAAUCAAAUUUCAAAUCUUUUUGACAUCAUUUCCCUAAUGAUCAAUGAGUUUCAAAAUUUAUAAUUUUAAUGGUCGAUAUGAGGCGUUUUCUCGUUUAACAGCGUAACGAUAUCCAAAUCAAUUAAAUUUUUGUUAAAAAAUUCUUUAAACUAUUUAAAACAAGAUCUACACUCUUGAUCUUGAUUACAAGACUCCUAUCAUCAUUUUUUAAAGAAUAUUCAUUUUCCGCCGUUCAUUUUUGUGUCCACUCGAUGAAUAAGAGAACAAUAUCGAAAAUGUAUGAAAUUUGAUUCUAAACACUUCAAGUGAUAUAGAUCAUAUUCAACGGUGCCGAUCGUUGAUUUGGAGGCUCCAUCAUCGAAAAUAAAUAGGUGGCAACGGAGUCCGUUUGCUAUCGAUAGCAUUCUAGCUCAACUCUAUAU